rnacentral:rRNA from 1 species
UACCAGCACCCCGAGUGGUCGGUACGAUUAUUGGGCCUAAAGCAUCCGUAGCCGGUCCUACAAGUCUUCCGUUAAAUCCACCUGCUUAACAGAUGGGCUGCGGAAGAUACUAUAGGGCUAGGAGGCGGGAGAGGCAAGCGGUACUCAGUGGGUAGGGGUAAAAUCCUCUGAUCCAUUGAAGACCACCAGUGGCGAAGGCGGCUUGCCAGAACGCGCUCGACGGUGAGGGAUGAAAGCUGGGGGAGCAAACCGG